rnacentral:rRNA from 1 species
AGUAACACGUGGAUAACCUACCUAUAAGACUGGGAUAACUUCGGGAAACCGGAGCUAAUACCGGAUAAUAUUUUGAACCGCAUGGUUCAAAAGUGAAAGACGGUCUUGCUGUCACUUAUAGAUGGAUCCGCGCUGCAUUAGCUAGUUGGUAAGGUAACGGCUUACCAAGGCAACGAUGCAUAGCCGACCUGAGAGGGUGAUCAGCCACACUGGAACUGAGACACGGUCCAGACUCCUCGGGAGGCAGCAGCC